rnacentral:lncRNA from 1 species
AAAAAAGUAAAACCACAAAAAUACUGAACUCAGAGGAAAAUCAAUUCGGAAAGUCCAUAAUCACAUGGCAAAAUCAAAUAACAAAACGCAUCAAAAACGAAUGGACAAGAACUGUCAUAUUCCUGACUUGGUACAUGCAUUUUCAAAUGUAGAAAAGGGUGGAUUGAACCUGGUUUUAUAGCUAGCUAAACCUCUCACUUGUAUGACAGUCGUAUCAAAUUUCAUUAUAUUGUCACCGAUGCGUGAACAAAACAAACAGACACAAUAGGUAAAAAUGUCAAAAAUAGGGGUACAGCAGUCAACAUUGU